rnacentral:rRNA from 1 species
GCCAGCAGCCAUAUGACCCUGUAACUCACAAGUGAAAACUCCUGAAGCUCAGCAGAUGUGAGCCUGGUCAGUACCCAGAUGGGAGACCUCCUGGGAAAGCUAAGGCUGCUGCAGGAG